GGACAUUGUAUCCGGAUCCGGAUCCCGGACACGCUCAGAGGUGGUGGCUUCAUUUGAAUUACUUUUAAUCAGUUUACGGUGUGUUCUUUUCAAAGUGGAAAGCAAAAAAACUUCGUUCCAUACAAAUAAAGCUUCCAAGAAAAAGUCCCGUGUGUACGAGCUUUGGUGGAAUGUCAUCCCGAACAUCGUAUCCGGAUACAGAUUCUGGACACGCUCAGAGGUGGUGGCUUCACUUGGAUUAUUUUAAAUCAGUUUUCGGUGUGUUCUUUUCAAAGUGGAAAGCAAGCUUGGUAGGAAACGAAAAAGCCGAACUACGUUCUCGUGACUAACAACGUUUUGGAUUAAUCAUUUCUCGGAGAUGCUUCUCCGUUAAUGGAAAUUUCGGCAUACCGGGACAUUCGGCCACGGACUGUCGUACCGUUUCCACCGUUUCAUUCAUACGAUUUAAGGUUAAUGAAACCUUCCAUGAAAUUGCACUACCUAGAGAAACACGACGGGUGUGUCGAUAGAUCGAACAUUGCCGCAGACACAGCUGGCCAGUGGACCCGAUGAUCUCGAUAUCAGCCUUUAGAACUGGCAGAAAAACAAACAAGUUAAAAUCAUGGCGGCAUCAUCUCUUUCAACAAGUACUACAUUGUAUUAUAUACAAUAUAGCAAAAUUUCAUCCAGCUCAACUAAGAGAUGCAACAUCUAUCUGGAAUUCCCUUAGGUGAAGUCAUCAAGUAAUAAGUCUUCUAAUGGUGCUAACAGUUAACUGUUGUACCGGUGGUGAACAUAACGAAAAUUCGUUACGAUGAUGUUUUUGCCUGUUGAAAAUAAGGUUGGCAAAAGGAGCAUCUUGGCCCGUCGAGAAUUGUCGAGCGAAAACUCAUAAUCUGCCAUCUUCCGUGACUUCCUGGUGGAAGCAAACAAAUGUGGCAAAGAGGUUAAUCCACCGAUAAAACUUCGGAAAAGCAAUUAAUUGUUGUGUGGAGUCCCGAGACAAUUGCUAAGCAAUGACAUAUUGCAACUUAACAUAAAAUAUUUUUUGGCUAGGAAAAUGUAUAUUCUACAAUAAUAAGGCAGGAAGUGCAUUUUUGUGUACUUAUAUUUUAGGCACCAUUAGAUUUGUAUGAUUCAAGAAUCGCUAAGAAGAACAGCACGGCUAAGCAGUUCAAUUGAGACAAAUAUAUUCAGGCAGAA